rnacentral:piRNA from 1 species
UAGUGUGCCCUAGAAUGAAUGUUGCCAGC